rnacentral:rRNA from 1 species
UACGGAGGGAGCUAGCGUUGUUCGGAUAUACUGGGCGUAAAGCGCACGUAGGCGGCGCCGUAAGUCAGGGGUGAAAUCCCGGGGCUCAACCUCGGAACUGCCUUUGAUACUGCAAGUCUCGAGUCCGGAAGAGGUGAGUGGAAUUCCUGGUGUAGCGGUGAAAUGCGCAGAUAUCAGGAAGAACACCCGUGGCGAAGGCGGCUCUCUGGGACGGUACUGACGCUGAGACGCGAAAGCGUGGGGAGCGAACAGG